AAUAGUUUCAGAGUAAUUACGUUUGAUCUGCCAUAAGAUCAGAGGAUAAGAUGCUAUUAACAGUGUUAAUUCAUAGAGAGUUAAUAUGUUAUAGUGAUUUGUUCUUAUACCAUCAUAAUGUAAAAGGAAAGUGUGCCAACAAAAGGACUGUAUAUAAUCGCAUCAAGUGCCUACAAGAAGAUAAUAUAAGGUUACUUCGUCGUGGGACAAAUAUAUUUCAACUCAUUAUGUCCUCAAAGGUUUCCCUUUGUUGACAUUGCAACGGGAAGGUGGCUUCUGAUGGCCAAAAUAUAACUGAAUCAGAAGUUGUAUCCAAUUCUCAAACUCUCAAGUUUCUAUACCGGAGCAGAAUUUGGUGCGCAGUAGUAGUUCGGGAG